rnacentral:miRNA from 1 species
UGGGCCUUGACCUCGGCGAUGAUGC